rnacentral:rRNA from 1 species
UGGGCAUUCUUUUGUUUCAAGAUUAGCCAUGCAUGUCUGAGCAUGCGCUGAAGUAAAGUGAAGCCGCGAAUAGCUCAUUACAACAGCCGUUGUUUCUUGGAUCUCUUCUCUAUUUGGAUAACUGUGGUAAUUCUAGAGCUAAUACAUGCAAACAAGCCCUGAACGUGAGUGACGGGCGCAUUUAUUAGAACAAGACCAUCUGGCUUUCAAGCCAUAAUUUGGUGACUCUGAAUAACUGAGCCGAUCGCACGGGCUCGUCCCGGCGACGUAUCUUUCAAGUGUCUGCCUUAUCAGGUUUCGUUGGCGGUUUAUGUGACCGCCAAGCCUGUAACGGGUAACGGAGGAUCAGGGUCUGACUCCGGAGAGGGAGCCUGAGAAACGGCUACCACUUCUAAGGAAGGCAGCAGGCGCGCAAAUUACCCAUUCUUGGCUCAAGGAGGUAGUGACGAAAAAUACCAAGGUGAGGCUCAUCGAGCUUGACCAUUGGAAUGAGAACAAUCUAAAUCCUUUAACGAGGAUCUAGUGGAGGGCAAGUCUGGUGCCAGCAGCCGCGGUAAUUCCAGCUCCGCAAGUGUAUUCCUAUACUGUUGCGUUUAAAUAGCUCGUAGUUGGAUCUGCGUGUUUAGCGCGCGGUGUUACUUUUCGUAACUACUGUGCCGCGACACUGUACGCUGACUGUAUACUCUUGAGUAUGUAGACAGCAAGUUUACUUUGAACAAAUCAGAGUGCUCAAAACGGGCGUUUCGCUCGAAUGUUCUUGCAUGGAAUAAUAGAAUAGGACCGCGCGUUCUAUUUUGUUGGUUUUCGGGACGCGGGUAAUGAUUAAGAGGGACAGACGGGGGCACUUGUACUGCGACGUGAGAGGUGAAAUUCUUGGAUCGUCGCAAGACAGACUACUGCGAAAGCAUUUGCCAAGAAUGUUUUCAUUAAUCAAGAACGAAAGUAACGGGUUCGAAAGGCGAUCAGAUACCGCCCUAGUCGUUACCGUAAACGAUUAGAAUCGGGAAUCCGUCGCAGUCACUCAAGACGCGACGGGCGCCCACCCCGAAAGGCAGAUUUGUGCUGAACGGGGGAGUAUUCUGCAAAGACAACUUAAAGGAUUGACGAGGGCACCACCAGGUGGUGGAGCCUGGCGGCUUAAUUUG